GAAGUUCGCCAGGCAGCCGCUGGACGCGCAAGCGUCUGGAGGAAAGUCCGGGCCCCCUAGAGCAGGAUGCCGGCUAACGGCCGGGCGUCGUGAGGCGACAGACAGUGCAACAGAAAGAUACCGCCGAUGGCCCGACUUUGACGCCGUAAGGCGGCAAAGUCCCUUUUCGAGAGAGAAGGGGCUGACGCCGUAAGGCGGCAAAGUCAUCUCCUGAAGAGCUGGAGCGCAAGCUCUGGCGACGAGGGAGAAGGGAUCAGGCAAGGGUGAAAUGGUGGCGCGCCGCAAGGCGCGUCGGGGCCGCGCAAGCGGUCCCGGUGUAAGAGACCACCGCGUGACUGGUAACAGUUCACGGCACGGCAAACCUCAUCCGGGGCAAGGCCAAAUAGGGGAGCAAUGACGUGGCUCGCGUCGCUCCCGGGUAGGCUGCUUGAGGCCGUCGGUAACGGCGGUCCCAGAGGAAUGGCUGCCAGGCCGCGCAAGCGGCCCACAGAACCCGGCUUAUCGGCGGACUUCCAAU
rnacentral:RNase_P_RNA from 1 species